CAGCAGUGUCCUUAGUUGGUUCUGAAGGGCAUUUUGCACAGUGUUUAGCAAUGAUUUGGGCCAUAUUACUUCUCAUUCUCCAAGUCUGGUCCUCCAAGUUUUUAGGCAAUUUUGUAUUUAUUUUCUGCUAUAAUCAGCCCAAACCCAUUUCUUUUGCUCUGGAACUUAGAAGUGAUCUAGUCAACUUACAUGGUAAGCAAUCAUCUAUAGCAAAAAUUUAGAGUAAAAUUAGACCAAGAUUGAUUGAACAUUCAUGUUUCAAACUGCAGAAAAUCUUGGAGUUUUUUUAGACAAUAAUAUUAAUGUUACUACUGCUAAUAAAAGAUAGCUUUAUUGAGAAACUACUGUAUGUCAUGAUCUGUAUUAAGCCUUUAUAUGAAAAAAAAAAGCCUUUAUAUGCAUUAUUUCCUGUAAUUCAAGGAAGAUAUAGGAACUCAAAUCUGAUGAAAAUAAGCCAGAUGAAAAAACAUGGCCUAUAAUCUAGUGGAGGAGGAGGAGGAUGAUGACGAUGACAAUGAUGAAGAUUAUGAUGACAAUGAUGUUGGUAAUGAUGAUAAUGAUGGCAAUGACAAUGAUGAUGACAAUGACAAUAAUGAUGAUUAUGAUGAUGACAGUGAUGUUGACAAUGAUGAUGAUGACAACAUCUGGAAUGUGGAGAAUCACAGUUAGGGUCAACCGCCUAUAUAACAGAGCUUGUUUGAAGUGUCUCAAGUCCCAGGCUCUAAUGGACCCCAACUCUGAUAAAUCACCUUCAUGCUCAGAAGGAAAGAUAAGACUUAUGCAACUAUUGCUUAUAGUGAUAACCUCUACAUCUCCUGGAAUUAGCCUCAACUUAGUGGUUCCUCUGAUCCAGGCUUCAGCUGCAUGCAUCUUAGCCACCUUGAUACUAUCUUCCCAACUGUCAAUCUGGGCAUUUAUUAUGCAGCAUUUUCCUUUUUAUUGGUUUAGUCAAGUAUCUUGGAAAGUGUCUGCUUUUCAUUUCUUUGUCAGUUCUGAAACCCAAAAUUCUGGAUAGAGAUAUAUUUUGCAGAUCAUUUUUUCUAUCAGUUUUGAAUUAAAAUAUACAACGUUAGUACAGGUAAGAUUUUACAAUAAUAAAAAAAACAAUAACAAAAAAC
rnacentral:lncRNA from 1 species